CGCUUAUUUUGUUGUUUGGUUGGCAAGUUCGGGAUAACUUAUCCCGGGAUUAAUAAUUAGUACCGGGAUAAGUUAUCCCUCUAUUUGGGUGGUAUAGUAAUCCCGGGAUAAAAUAGGUAAAUGACAAAAAUGUCUCUUUCAACCCUUUUGUUAUAUCACUUUUUACAUUAAUGAAGGGCAUUUUUGUAAACAAAUAAAUUGUUCUUAAAAUUUAUUAUUUUGAACACAACAAACCAAACACUCAAUAAAAAAUAAUCCCAACACAACUUAUCCCAUCAUACCUAAU
rnacentral:lncRNA from 1 species